GAUUGAACGCUGGCGGCAUGCUUUACACAUGCAAGUCGAACGGUAACAGGCCUUCGGGUGCUGACGGGUGGCGAACGGGUGAGUAAUGCAUCGGAACGUACCCAGAGGUGGGGGAUAACGCAGCGAAAGCUGUGCUAAUACCGCAUGUGAUCUGAGGAUGAAAGCGGGGGACCGAGCAGCAAUGUUUGGCCUCGCGCCUUUGAAGCGGCCGAUGUCGGAUUAGCUAGUUGGUGGGGUAAAGGCCUACCAAGGCGACGAUCCGUAGCUGGUCUGAGAGGACGACCAGCCACACUGGGACUGAGACACGGCCCAGACUCCUACGGGAGGCAGCAGUGGGGAAUUUUGGACAAUGGGCGCAAGCCUGAUCCAGCAAUGCCGCGUGCGGGAAGAAGGCCUUCGGGUUGUAAACCGCUUUUGGCAGGAACGAAACGGUGUCCGCUAAUACCGGGCGCUAAUGACGGUACCUGCAGAAUAAGCACCGGCUAACUACGUG
rnacentral:rRNA from 1 species